CUAGGAGAAGAAACCAUCAAACUUUACAAUGUAAACGCACCAUUUCCUAGCGCCACCCUCGGCCUGUGAGAACUCCAGUUCCUCCACGUUCAGGAGUUGUGGGGGUCGAAGCCGGAAGUACACAGUCGCCUCCGUAUCAGCAGCAACUGCAACUUCCAAGCUGUUUGGGAAGAUGUCAGAAGAGUUCACCGAGUAGCGGGAGACAGCCCUGGUCUGGAAAAUCCUUAUAUUCGAACCUGCCUGCUGACAAAAGUACGCAGUUUUCAACACUGGCCAUUCAACAACUAUGUGGGUCUGUAGCCUGCUUUACUCCUGUGAUCACACGGGCCUUUAUAUUGUCAAGCGGGAGCUGACGGGGUUAGACCUGUGAUUUCCAGGUAUUUCCAAGGAGAUCUAAAGUUAUUAUUACCUAUUUAGGAAAAUAAUUCAUUUAUUCUAGGGAUUUAAAGAAUGCAGAGCUACUCCAAAUGACCGCCAGGAUUUUUAGGAGUUUUUUUUUUUCCUCCCCUCCCCUUUUCUCUUAUAAUGGCACUAUUAAAAUAUAAUCCACGUGCCACAGAAUUCUUAAAGUGUUGAACACAGUGUGAAUGCGUGAGCCACCAAGUUUACUCAUGGGCAUCUACUCAGGAGGAACGAAAACGGAUUCACACAAAAACAUGUACACAGAUGUUCAUGCGGCAUCACUCGUAACGGUGAGAAGAAACAAUUUAAAUGUAAGCGGAUAAACAGUAUUGGUAUGUACAUACAAUAGAAUACUGUUGGACAAUAAAACACGGGUACAUGACUAGGCGUCAUGCAGAAGGCCACAGGUUCUCAGGAUGCUAGGACGAAGUGCUCAGAAAGCACGUACCGGAGCACAGAGUAGAUUAGAGGAGCUCCGGGGCGGGCAGCAGAACCGUGGAGUGGCAGCAAACGGCACGAGGCUUUUUUUAGGGGGGGUUAAACCAUUCAAAAUUAGGUUCUGGUGUUAGUUCUACGACUCUGUAAGUGAACUAUACAACCACACAUGUACACUUUCGCACGUGUGUAUGUGUGUGUAUGUCUGUGUGUGUUUGUGUAUAUGUGUGUAUAUCUGUGUGUCUGUGUGUGUCUGUGUGUGUCUGUGUGUCUGUGUGUAUGUGUGUCUGUGUAUGUGUGUCUGUGUCUGUGUGUCUGUGUGUCUGUGUGUGUCUGUGUGUGUGUCUGUCUCUCUGUGUGUGUCUGUGUAUGUGUGUGUCUCAGUGUGUGUGUGUACACAUGCACAUGUCAUGUGCUUAUCAUUAUUCACUGUAUCCGAAGAGAAGAAAUGCAGUUUCAGAUACUGGCCUGUGUGACUUUCCCAGGGUUCCACAGCUAGGACAGAAGUAGGUUUACCUAUUUAUUUUACUAUGUAUCAGUGGCUGACCUAGAACUCGAUAUGUAGACCUGGCUGUCUCAGAGAUCCACCUGCCUCUGGCUCCUGAGUGCUGGGAUUAAAGGUGUGAGCCACCAUUCCCAGCCAAGUUGACUUUCUAAUGACGUUCUGUCUUUGUCCCUAUGACUUCCAGGGAGGCUGGCAGGACCAGAGGUAAGUGACUAUUGAUCAGGAGCCGGCUAUGGGUAGGAGAGCCCUAUUUGGAGUAUCAAUGGGAAUGACUAUACAUCUGACACUACGUGACUUCCAACACAUUAUGUGAAAGUUCUAACAUACAUGUUACACAUAUGUAUUGUGUCUACAGUAAGCCAGACCAGCUGAUACAGUCAACAGUAUCCUUCUCAGAAGGGAAGCUGUGAGGCCUCGGCUCUGGAAUAAACAUGUAUCUUACUUCUACUGUACUCUGAUGAUGAAACUAGGCUAGACUUAAGAUUUAUGAAUGUGGGCUUUGUCUGCUGAUGGGAGGAACAGCAGACAUGUUACAAAAGGAGUGGGUACACUGGUGAGGAAGCAGUGUACGGCCAUCGAACAAUCUGCCACAGUCGUGUAAUCAGAUGACUAUUGCCCCAGUCCCCUCCUCCAGCACUUAUUUUUCAAGAAGGCAGAUGUGUGCUUUGAGCUAUGAUUUCAGGGGCUAGGAGAUGAUGGCUAAGUGGUUAAGAGCAUGUGCUGUCCUUACAGAGGACCCAGGUUCAAUUCCUAGUACCUGAUGUGUAGACCAGGCUGGCUCCAGCUCCCAGAGAUCUGCCUGACUCUGACUCCUGAGUGCUGGGAUUAAAUGCAUGUGCUGCCACUGCUUGGCCAAGAUUUAUUUUUAGUUAUGUGUAUGUAUCUGUGUGGGUAUGCGCAUCUGAGUACAGGUAUCCAACACUUCAGCUCCUUUAAGGGACGAUGUCUGCUCUUAACUACUGAGGCAUCUCCGAAAUACUACACAUCUGUUUGGGUUCUCUACUUUUCAGCUAAUGCACAUAGUCCUGUAGAGAACAUCUCUUGAAUAGCUGUGUGAGUGCUUGUCUUAUGUUCUCUGGUAAUAAAUAUGUAGGAGUGGCACGGUUGGCCCUGUGAUAACUGUUUAGCUUUUCGAGGGAUCUAAGAACCCAAGCACCAGCUUUCCCACUAAGCCACACUUCUGGAGCAUCCCCAUCUUGUGUUUUCAGUGGUGAGCUGGGAACGACUGAGACUGGCUUAUGGGAGGUGAUAGCAUUUCUUUCCGUGAUUGUCAGUAGCUUCAGAUCGGCACAGGGAGUCUCACUCCCCAGACUAGAGCGAACGUGAAAAGAAUUCCUUGUGUUGUUCAUCUGCUUGUCACCAUCUUUUCUACCCACAGGUGUCAUUGUGCGUCAGAUACUCUGCUGGGCAGAGAAGGGGAGGGGGAGGGAGAAGGGAGGGAGAGUUAUGGUCUACAGCCUAACUGACAUCACAUAACUCAUUAUGUAGACAAGGGAUCCGAGCUGGGAAUUACAGACAUGGUUCACUGUAUCUAGCUCAUUGUAUAACCCAGGAAAACAAUGGCCCAAACCAAAACUCUCUCAAUGGCCUUUCUACAUGCAUUCUCAGGUGGUCAAUGGUCUCAAGUAUACGGCCUUCUGCUCUUGGUCGGGAACAGCAGUUCCUGGAGGCAAACCUGAGUUGUGUAUACAAACUCUAUCCCAUUUCACAGUGACGUCUUCUUGAAGGCUUUCAGUGCAGAACUGCUUUUAGUCUAUUUAAAGACAGAUUGAUUCUGGAACUCCUAGCAGCCAAGAUCUCCUUCCCCAGUGCCUGAUAUUGACAUUUCUACAUCUGCCUUUUGGUUUCCAGCCAUCCCUGUGAUCUGAUUGCAGGUAAUUGAGGGUUUUCUAAGCGGAAAAAGUAAGUUACAUUGUGUUCGGCAAAGGCAGAGAGGGUUGGGACAAGAUGCAGAGACUACCCCAGUCCCAGAAAGGCCAGAACUGCUCUAGACAGUCCAAAAGAGGCAGGUGAGGACUUCACAGAAUCCACAGAGGUGGUAAACAAAGGAAGUAAGUCUUGGUGAGUGCUCUUGGGCAGCCUCUGGUUUAUUUAGUCUCAUGCGUACAGUGAAUAAGGCUAUUGUAUCAUAGCCCUGGAGAGCAGCUCAGCACCAUGCUGUCCUUCUCUGUUCCUUCUGUGCUGUGCUCCCCAACCCCCAUCACUGCCUUUUUUUUUUUAAAUCCUUUUUGUUGGUUUGGUCUUUGUUUACAAGACAAGGUCUCCCUGUACAGAUCUGCCUAGCUUGGGACUCUCUGUGUAGACCAGGAUAGCCCUGACUCACAAAGACCCAUCUCCGCCUAAGUGCUGGGAAUAAUGGCGUGCCACCACACCUGGUCACCAAGUUCCUUUUUAUGGGGAUUUUGGAGUUAGAGGUGCAGAAAUGGAAGAAUCCUUCGCAGAGCCAGAGUUUGUUGGGUUUGUUCUGAUCUGGGAUGGGGGUGCCCUGAGGCCAUGGCAGGUUUCUUUCUCCCUUGUUUUUAUAAACGGAGGCCAAGAGUUGACACAAUACACACACCCCUUUCCUUUUCUUUUGUUUGUUUUUUGUUUUGCCUUUUGAGGCAAGGGUUCUAUGUAGCCUUGAACUUGCUAUAUAACCAAAGAUGACCAUUUAAAAACAAAAAGAUUUAUUUAUUUUCUCUAUGUGAGUACACUGUAGCUGUCUUCAGGGACACCAGAAGAGGGCAUCAGAUCUCAUUACAGAUGGUUGUGAGCCACCAUGUGGGUGCUGGGAAUUGAACUCAGGUCCUCUGGAAGAGCAGUCAGUGCUCUUUACCACUGAGCCAUCUCUCCAGCCCCCCAAAAAGGACCUUGGAACUUUGAACUUCCUGUUUCUAUCUCUCAGGGCUGAGAUCACAGGCAUGUGCAACCACAUCUGAUUUUAUGUCAAACUGGGACUUGAACCCAGGGCUUUGCGCCUGACAGGCCAUGGGUCUACCAGCUGAGCUACAUCCUGAAGAAGGCCAUCAGAAACAGUGUGAGCUGGGCCAAGAAAGGCAGAGGGGGUGGUACCAGGCAAUGUGUAGUUACACAGUACCACAGUACAGACAAGUUGCACGCAUGGUCCAAAUGAUCAUAAUGGCACUGUGUGCUCACCCACAAUCCGUCCCAGAACUCAGCUGAGGCAGGAGGUGUAGGAUGAUGUCAUUACGCAGAUAAAGGCAGGUACAAGAUAGAACAAGGCCUGUCAUUGGCUGAGAAGGAAGGUUGGGCGAGAGAAAAGUUUUAGAGAAGAGGAGGAGACGGGGACGAGAGAGGGAAGCCGCUGAGAGAAUAUGGAGGUGAAUGUUAAGAUUCCACUCUGUAUUUACAGGUUGUUAUGAAUGUUCUUAAGGCAAGGAUGUGUAUAGGGCUUUUCGUGUGUCUAGGUGGGCAAUUAUAUCUUAUCAAUUGGAUCCGAGGUUAUUGUGUUGUAUGUUCUUUCUUGUGGCGAUUUAAGUUUAAGAGAUAUUGUGAUGGUGGCGACACUAGGCCACCACAGAAUUGAGAUGUAUAUUUCUGGCAUGGUAGCAACCUGCCUUGGGAACUGGAUGGGUAGAGAGAUUGCUGCCAGGCUCAGAGAGAAGCCAUCGGCAGUGUGAUACGGGAUGGAGCAGAGCGGGUGAGACGCUUUGCUGACUGAGAUGAAGAUGUCUACCAGAUAUCUUGGGGCACCGCGGUGCCAGACCUAGUGUGGGAUAAAAGACAACAUUUUUUAUAAUUUCACAGCAACAAGGAGGAUUUCUAAUUCCUGCCUAUCUUCCCUCUUCCGUGUAGCAAAACAGUCUAAGCCACCAGAUGCUAAAGACAGGCUCUGUGGAUGUCUUCAGCUUAGGGGAUUUAGCCUUUCUUUCUGUCCUUCUGAAGGACAAAUGCAAAAUUCCAACUGUCAGAUGAGAGUAAUGUUCUUACUUCCUCCUCGAGGGAGUGGAGGCCCAGAGUUCAGUGGCCAGUCCAGGGCCAUCUCAGGACGAAGAUUAAAGGCAAAACCAACUCUACUCCAGAGCUUAGCAAGAGGGGUUCAGGGCUGGGUAUGGCGGCUCACACCUGUGAUCCCAGCACUCAGAAGAGUGAGGCAGGAGGAUUGGCUUGUGUUAUGGGCUAACCUGGGCUACAGAGUGCAACUCUGUCUCAAAAAUUAAAUAAAAAUUUAAGGGCUGGAGAGAUGGCUCAGUGGUUAAGGGCACCGACUGCUCUUCCCGAGGUCCUGAGUUCAAAUCCCAGCAACCACAUGGUGGCUCACAACCAUCUGUAAUGAGAUCUGAUGCCCUCUUCUGGUGUGUCUGAAGACAGCUACAGUGUACUCAUAUAUAUAAUAAAUAAAUAAAAUAUUUUAAAAAAAUUUAAGAAGACGUUGUAGGCAUGUGCAGAGCACAUCUACACACCAUCUGUAAAUCAUUACGGGCAGCUGCUUUCCCCUUUGUGAGAAUCCAAGGUCCUUAAAGUUACGUGGCAAGAGAAGAACCAUUAGAGUCAAGCCAGGAUGCAUAUAAGGGGGCACAGUGGCCAUAAGCCUGAAGUCCUGGCUACUUAUAGAGCUGGGGCAGGAGGACUGUUUCAGCCCAGAAGUUCAAGGGCAAUCUGAGCAUCACAGCAUGGCCCCAUAUUAAAAAAAUAUUUACAUAUAUAUGUUGCAGUGAGAGCUGGAUCUGCUUGCUCCAGCUGCUACUCUAUCCCGCACUCCGCAAGCCUCCCUCUCCCUGCCGCUGUCUCCCUUUCAGUCACCCUCUCCACACGGUCCCCUAGGUGGUAGGUACCACAUCUGUCGCCCGCCACACACAUCUCGUUCUGUGGGCCCUUGCGCAGUCUCACUCCAUGUGGCCAACAGAACCAGAUCCGCAUGCUCCAACUGCCUCUCAGCCAUUUCUUUCACACACUGGCCUCUUCAGCCCGGUAAAUCAAAGUCCCAGAGACUUGUAACUUAGCAAUUAGAUUUACAUGUUAAAUUCCCAAUCUACGAUACAUCCAACAACAAAUUCACUGCCAAUUAAUAAAGAGUUAAACCGACCUGCUCUGUUGUCUCCAUCUCGAUUUUUCCUCACUCUUCCUCCUCCUCCUCCUUCCUAGACCUUUCCCUGCCUACCUUUCCUUCUCAUCCAAUGAUAGGUCACGCCUUAUCCUGGACCCUCCUUGCUGCAUAAUGACACAUGUAUGUGUAUGUUCAUGAAUACACAUCAUAUAUACACAUAUGUAUAUAUGUGUACACGUAUAUAUGUGUGUAUAUAUGCACAUACAUAUACAUACAUACAUGCAUGCAUACAUGCAUACAUACACACACAUGAUUAGACCCUGGCUGGAAUAAGGAAGAAUGUGCUGCCAGCAUAGCUUCCUGGUAUUCACUGCAUGAGCUUGUGGUGUGCACACAUCCUUCCAUGAAGAGACUAUCCUUAGAGUGCACUCACAGAGUAACCAGAUCAAACAGGAGGUCCCAUUAACAGUCUACCCCAUCCUGGCCUGGCUGGCCUGCGUCGGGGCUGGGGGCUGGGGCGUGCCUUCCUGGGGUUUGAGGUGGAGUCUCCAGGCUCUGUGUGCCUCUCCUGGGGGUCCUGUGCCUUCCCAGCAGUUCCCCCCUUAGAUGGCCAAGGGCUCCCAAAGCAAUGUGUACCGGUGCCCAUCAUGCUCUGGCCCCAAGUCUCUGCUGUGUCAUCUCAGUAUAGGCCCAGGGAGCAGACCCCGGACCAAAGCCUGCUCCUGGGGAGUGAGGGUCCCGGAUACUGUGGAGUGGACCUCGGUAGCUUUGAGUAGGAAUGUCAAAGAGGAGCGCUGGUCCUUUUCAAUCACUCUACUGCUCCAUGGGAUGGGAGGUUGUGGAAAGGCUGGGUAGCCCGAGUGUGGGUGGUGGUUGCAGCAUUAGGCAAAGACCUGGAACAUUUUAAUUAGCAUAGAACAUCUUUUCUCCAGCUAAUUUGAUGGCUGUUAUGGUCCCAUCCUAAAAGUAAGGAAGUGGGGCUGGGGAUUUAGCUCAGUGGUAGAGCGCUUACCUAGGAAGCGCAAGGCCCUGGGUUCGGUCCCCAGCUCCGGGGAAAAAAAAAAAAAAGUAAGGAAGUAAUCCUGAACCUGGUGGCCACUCUUUAGGGGUUUGUUCUGCGCUAGGAUUCACCUACUUGAAUCAAUCUUCACAUGGCUAUACCCUGCUGGGCGAAUGAGGAAGUCAUGCAAGAUUUCCACAGUCUCCAGAGAGAGCAUCAAGGCCAUUUUCCAGCCCAGUUUGGCUUACUUGUCAAUUUUUUGCGUCCUCACAUUCCAGAAGAUCCGCUUGCUCUUGGGAUAAGUUUACCCUAGAAUUGUCGUGUAGGAUCAGCUGGCGGUGAGAGAUCUUCUAACCUGCUCCUUUCCUCACUGGGUUUCCCUGCUCUAUUUUAGGGGCUUGGUCCAAGUGGGAUAGCCCCUGGGUGUGUCAAGAUCUUCCAGGGAUCCAAGAGAUUGUAGAAGAAUUCCCUGAUCUGGCAAGAGGAGACUCCAUCUCACUGUAUGUCUGCUCUCUCUGACCUGACCUGAGCGCCUGCUGGGUCCACCUGAGGACAGAGGCCUCUCCCACAGGCACCUCCCUGGCUGUAGUUUACACCCCUUGGUUUGUACACACGUGUCCGAUGCUCUAGGAGGUCAGAGGCCACAGGGCCCCGGGAGCUGAAGUUACAGGCAGAUGGAAUGCGUCCAGGAACAGAGUCAAGAACAGGGAAAGGUCAGUGUGGUAGCUUUGCCUCAUCUAAUUGCAAGCCCUCCCUCUAUAAACACUUCCCCGCGGCUCCCUCUGAGGCAGCAUCUGCUCGCUCCCUUCUCUGCUUCUCCGUGGCAGGAAGCAGGUCCAGCUUCUGCUGCCCCCUCAUCGGUCCUGGGCUCAGGCCUUGGAUCUCUCGGGAGACAGAAGUGCAUCCAAGUGCAAGCGCAAAGCCUGCUGGGCCUGGGCUUCUUCUGAGCCAGGACCCCAUGCAGGAGCUUGGCUCCUGCGUCUUCUGGCUGUUCCACACUGAAGUUCAGCGUCCUUUUCCUUCCGAUUCAGUAGCAGUUUGGGGUGGGCAGUUUGACAGCUGCCUACCGUUUUCAGAAAUGCCAGACUCUCUGAAACUGACAAACAGGCAGAUUGAUGGACUCUGUCUCCCAGUUCCUCUUGGACAGUAGGAGCUGCUCCCCUGGAUGCUUCUCCCAAAGCUGCUCUUUAAGUGGCAUUUAUCUGCGCACAAGCCGGAGCUAAGAAAAGUUGCCUGGCACUUCCUGAUACUCUAAAUUCAAGGAAUUCUAUGGGGGACUUGAUUUUAAUCGCUGUCUUGGUUAAUUAGAGAGACAAGAAAUCAUCCCCCAAAAGUAAUUAAUGGAGCUGUUAGCGGAGGGGAAGAGGCUGCGUUUUGCUUGGGUACUAGGAGAGCCUCCGGUGGAGCUGGGGCUGUGGGUCACCGGCAACUUCUUGGGGAAAAUGUGGCUAUUAGUUCUGGCAUCCAGCCUGCCUGCUUUCUCUUCAGGACACCACUGGUUACUGAGUCGACAGAACAGGGCUUAGCCCGUGAACAUUUGUAAACUGCCAGCACCUAGCUGGUAGGAGUGAAUCCCAUGACUUAUUGGUGUCCAGUUUGUCUGUUUGAUGCCCCUUCACCUUUGCCCUGCAUUAUCAGGAGCCAGAGGUCACCUGUGUUGGUUUUCUUUCACCCACCCACCCACCCGGCUACUAAAGUCACAAACACUGUCUUUUCCAGGUUUGUGUGUUUUUGUAGAGUCUCAGUGUGUAGGCCUGACUGGCUUCAGACAUGUAGUGGUUCUCCUACCUCGCUCCCCAGGUGCUGCAAUUUCGGUGGUGACGUCAUGCCACACUAUCCUCAUCCCUUAUCUUCACCAUUCUUUCCCUGACCAAAAAAACCAAAAAACCCAAAAAGCAAACAACAGCAACAACAAGCCAUUUUUAUGGAGACGUCUAUCUGGACAGUGCCCUCAGGACUCUGAGGUACCAGGAUCAAAGGUUUAGGAAGGACUUGGACUUCAACUUUGUUUUCCUCAGAAACAGCCAGGGCCAGGUCACCUCCACCAGCCAACUUUCUAAUGGAGGUGGCAUUCUCCGGGAUUGGCAGCCUGGGAACCCACACAAGUCCUGUGUCCGUCUAAGGGAGGGGAUGUCUAGGACUGCAGGGCAACCCUGUGGUCUGUCCCUCAGUAAUCUCUCUCUCUUUCUCUCUCUCUCUCUCUCUCUCUCUCUCUCUCUCUCUCUCUCUCUCUGGGCUAGAGGCAGAGAAGAUGGGGCCAUGCUCACCUCUGCCAAAUGGAACAACAUAGCCUCUUAAUCUUUGGCAGAGACUUGCCUCUCAGAGCACUUCCUGUGUGGAUGGUGCAGCCUGCUCUGGGACAGAUAGCUUAUGUGAGCAUUCUUCCCUGUACAGUGUUCAGACUGAAGGCACCAUUCCUCAAGUCGAAGAUGUGAGCCACUGAGUGAAACCUCCCUGCUGUCUGCCCAAUCCCAAAGGAACGAGGGGAAAGUCCUCAUGGGAGCCCAGGAGACACAGAACAUGUACCUGCACCUCUCUUUUCCUUGGAACACACACUCUUUCUCCCACCGUCAGAAGACUCCCAAAGACCAGGGGAUGCUCUGAGGGUGGCACCUGAUACUCCUCCUUGAGAUGAGUCGGAGGUUAACGAUCCUGUGUGAAUUACCUCCACUUAAUACUCUGUUCUUUUGAGCCUGUGCUAGCCCAUGCUGGCUGCAUUCUGCCAGAGUAUUCGCUGACACUUAAUGUUGAAUUAUUACUCGUGUGAGCAGAGCACACAGCACGCUGUGCCCUCCUGGCUGAAGAUGUGGAAGUGGUGCUGGGGGAUUCGCCUUCUACUCAAUGAAGCCUUUCUGUAUGGAAACAUGAGAACCCAACCUCAGUAGGGAAAACUGAGUCAGAAGAGCAAGGGACGUGUGUGCCAACACUUUCCUAGGCAGUUGUAGUUCGAGGGUGGAAGUCAGGCCCCUCCCUGCCUGGCCCAGUGCCUUCCACCCUGUCUUCCCUACCCUCCAGUAUGACCCCUUCUUACCAAGAACACAAUGGCUACCCCGAUUGGUGCAUUCACCUGAUGAGCUCUUAGUAACCAUAUUGUUUAUUGAGUCUUCAGAAAGCACUAGAUCAGGGUUGAGGAUUUAGCUCAGCGGUAGAGCGCUUGCCUAGCGAGCGCAAGGCCCUGAGUUCGGUCCCCAGCUCCGAGAAAAAAAAAAAAAAGCA